rnacentral:sRNA from 1 species
UUUAAAGGAGUACAGGCUAAAUCCGCCACGUCCUGUGGCAACGCCUGCAUGACCCACCUCCUGUGGG